GAUGGAUUGUAUAUCAUUCCUUUAUGUGGAUAUUGAUGGAUACAUUCCCCGAACAAGAAUACGCCACACAGAUCCUGAUGUAUUGAAAUUGGAACACGCAGUCCAUCAAUAAUGGAACCCAAUAUCCCAACGUCAAAUUCAACGUCUGAUACAGUCAAUGAGGAGCUAUAUAUCCGUGUUAAAGGACGACUAAAAACGUGAACACACGGCAACAGAUGAUGCUGUAACGCACCCUUAUCUGUGGCAUUACGGACGAUCGAAUCAAGUGUACAUCAUUAUAUACUUGUAUUGGAAACGGAUCUGACACGGACAAAAUGAACAUUUCUGUGUUGUUCCCAAGCGUCCACAUCAGGAAUGGUGUUUUCCUGGUAACGCGUUAACAGUUGGUAAUGUACGUUCGAAUCUCCGGUUCUCAAGUAACCUAACGUAUGUCAUCAACAUCAUAACAACCAGCAUCAUCAUCGGUGGUUAUUAAUGUCCAUUGAUAUGUAUGACACAUUCACAGGUAUGGUCCGAAUACAGAUUGCUGAAUAAAUCGGUGCCAGACAAAUGUGUGUGACUGAGCUAAAUUCUAAGUAGUUUAUCCCCUUUUAUUGCUGAAUCUAAUGACAAAAAUAAUGUUUGUGGGUGGUUAAA